rnacentral:rRNA from 1 species
CCUACGGGUGGCUGCAGUGGGGAAUAUUGCACAAUGGGGGAAACCCUGAUGCAGCAACGCCGCGUGAAGGAAGACGGUUUUCGGAUUGUAAACUUCUGUUCUUAGUGAAGAAUAAUGACGGUAGCUAAGGAGCAAGCCACGGCUACCUACGUGCCAGCAGCCGCGGUAAUAAGUAGGUGGCACGCUUUGUCCGGAAUUACUGGGGGUAAAGGGGGCGCAGAGGGCAGCGCAAGCCAGGAGUGAAAGCCCGGGGCCCAACCCCGGGACUGAUCUUGGAACUGCGCGGCUGGAGUGCAGGAGGGGCAGGCGGAAUGCCUGGUGUAGCGGUGAAAUGCGUAGAUAUCAGGAGGAACACCGGUGGCGAAGGCGGCCUGCUGGACUGCGACUGACGUUGAGGCCCGAAAGCGUGGGGAGCAAACAGGAUUAGAUACCCGAGUAGUC